UGGAGAUGUUUCGUCAGGUUUUUCUGACAA
rnacentral:piRNA from 1 species